CCUACGGGUGGCAGCAGUGAGGAAUAUUGGUCAAUGGGCGCAAGCCUGAACCAGCCAAGUCGCGUGAGGGAUGACGGUCCUAUGGAUUGUAAACCUCUUUUGUCGGGGAGCAAGGCCCGCCACGUGUGGCGGGAAGGAGAGGACCCGAAGAAAAAGCAGCGGCUAACUCCGUGCCAGCAGCAGCGGUAAUACGGAGGAUGCGAGCUUUAUCAGGAUUGAUUGGGUUUAAAGGGUGCGUAGGCGGAAGGUUAAGUCAGCGGUCAACUGUCGGUGCUCAACACCGGCCUGCCGUUGAAACUGGUCUUCUUGAGUGAGCGAGAAGUAUGCUGAAUGCGUGGUGUAGCGGUGAAAUGCAUAGAUAUCACGCAGAACUCCGAUUGCGAAGGCAGCAUACCGGCGCUCAACUGACGCUGAGGCACGAAAGCGUGGGGAUCGAACAGGAUUAGAUACCCUUGUAGUC
rnacentral:rRNA from 1 species